CCUACGGGAGGCAGCAGUCGAGAAUCAUUCACAAUGGGGGAAACCCUGAUGGUGCGACGCCGCGUGGGGGAAUGAAGGUCUUCGGAUUGUAAACCCCUGUCAUGUGGGAGCAAAUUCAAAAGAUAGUACCACAAGAGGAAGAGACGGCUAACUCUGUGCAAGCAGCCGCGGUAAUACAGAGGUCUCAAGCGUUGUUCGGAAUCACUGGGCGUAAGGCGUGCGUAGGCUGUUUCGUAAGUCGUGUGUGAAAGGCGCGGGCUCAACCCGCGGACGGCACAUGAUACUGCGAGACUAGAGUAAUGAAGGGGGAAGCGGAAUUCUCGGUGUAGCAGUGAAAUGCGUAGAGAUAGGGAGGAACACUCGUGGCGAAGGCGGGUUCCUGGACAUUAACUGACGCUGAGGCACGAAGGCCAGGGGAGCGAAAGGGAUUAGAUACCCUUGUAGUC
rnacentral:rRNA from 1 species